UCAUAGUCCAACGGGGCGAGACCUGCUGAAGUGAACCAUCUCAGUAAGCAGAGGAAAAGAAAACGAAGUGAUUCCGUAAGUAGUGGCGAGCGAAAGCGGAGGAGCCUAAACCGGCCGGACUUGUCCGGCCGGGGUUGAGGGACCCCGACGUGGGAGCUGCAAUGCGAGCCGAACAGGCUGGAAGGCCUGGCCAAAGAGCGUGAGAGGCGCGUAGGCGAAGCAAAGCGGCCCCUAGGGGCAUCCCAAGUAGCGCGAUGCACGUGAAACUUCGCGCGAAUCCGUCCAGACCACUGGAUAAGGCUAAAUACUACCUGGCAACCGAUAGUGAACAAGUACCGCGAGGGAAAGGCGAAAAGAACCCCUGCGAGGGGAGUGAAAUAGAUCCUGCAACCACUUGCCUACAAUGUGUCGAAGUCCCGCAAGGGAUGACGGCCUGCCUUUUGCAUAAUGAGUCUGCGAGUUAUUGUUCGUGGCAAGCGUAACCCAUGACGGGGCACGCGAAGCGAAAGCGAGUAUGAAACGUGCGUCCAGUCGCGAGCAAUAGACCCGAAGCGGAGGUGAUCUACCCUUGAGCAGGUUGAAACCAAGGUAACACUUGGUGGAGGACCGAACUCGUGAAUGUUGAAAAAUUCUGAGAUGACUUGAGGGUAGGAGCGAAAGACUAAUCAAACCCCGUGAUAGCUGGUUCUCCCCGAAAUCGCUUGAGGGCGAGCGUUGGGUUAGUAAACCGAGGAGGUAGAGCACUGGAUGGCUUAGGGUCCACACCAGGAUGCCAAAACCAAUCAAACUCCGAAUUCCUCGGGAACCAUUACCCCAGCAUUCAGACGGUGGGGGAUAAGCUCCAUCGUCGAGAGGGCAACAGCCCAGACCGCCGGCUAAGGCGCCUAAAUGACGCUGAGUGGAAAGGAUGUGACGUUACUUGGACAGUGAGGAUGUUGGCUUAGAGGCAGCCAUCAUUUAAACAGUGCGUAAUAGCUGACUCAUCGAGUGAUGUCGCGCCGAAAAUGAUUGGCGAUAAGCGUCAUGCCGAAGCUGCGGGAUGCCCGGGACCUCGGUCCCUGGCAUCGGUAGGGGAGCGUAAUCGUUGCUGCGAAGGUCGUCCGGAAGGAGGGCUGGAGCGGCGAUUAGUGAGAAUGCAGACACGAGUAGCGAUAAACCGGGUAAGAAUCCCGGUCGCCGUAAACCCAAGGUUUCCUGGGCCAGGUUCGUCCUCCCAGGGUUAGUCGGGAGCUAAGACGAGGUCGUAGGACGUAGUCGAUGCACAGCCGGUCAACAUUCCGGCACCCGGCGGGGUCAAACCGUUGGCGACGCAGAGAGGAAAGCGGACAAGUCAUUGAAAGACAGAGCCGAGGGGCAACCCGAAGCGCACCGCCGGACGAUCUGCCUAGAAAACCCAACGGCCCUUUCCCCGUCGGCCCGUACCGCAAACCGACACAGGUGGGUGGGUCGAGUAGACCAAGGCGCGCGAGAGAGCCCUCUCUAAGGAACUCGGCAAAUUAGCCCCGUAACUUCGGGAAAAGGGGUGCUCGCUUCGGCGAGCCACAGUAAAUUGCGUUUAGCGACUGUUUAACAAAAACACAGCACUCUGCAACGUCGUGAAGACAACGUAUAGGGUGUGACAAGUGACCAAUGCGGAAAGAUCAAGGCAAGGGGUUAGCCGCAAGGCGAGGCUCCGAACCUAAGUCCCCGUGAAUGUCGGCCGUAACUAUAACGGUCCUAAGGUAGCGAAAUUCCUUGUCGGGUAAGUUCCG
rnacentral:rRNA from 1 species